rnacentral:rRNA from 1 species
GAUGAACGCUAGCGGCAGGCUUAAUACAUGCAAGUCGAGGGGGAUCAGUUGGGUAGCAAUACCUGGCUGUGAGACCGGCAAACGGGUGAGGAACACGUACGCAACUUUCCCAAAACUGGUGAAUAGCCCUCCGAAAGGAGGAUUAAUACACCGUAACAUAACGAAAUGGCAUCAUUUUGUUAUUAUAGCAGCAAUGCGGUUUUGGAUAGGCGUGCGCCUGAUUAGGUAGUUGGCGGGGUAACGGCCCACCAAGCCUACGAUCAGUAACUGGUGUGAGAGCACGACCAGUCACACGGGCACUGAGACACGGGCCCGACUCCUACGGGAGGCAGCAGUAAGGAAUAUUGGUCAAUGGACGAAAGUCUGAACCAGCCAUGCCGCGUGAAGGAUGAAGGUCCUCUGGAUUGUAAACUUCUUUUACUGGGACGAAAAAAGGGAAUUCUUUCUCACUUGACGGUACCAGAAGAAUAAGCACCGGCUAACUCCGUGCCAGCAGCCGC